rnacentral:rRNA from 1 species
AUUGAACGCUGGCGGCAGGCCUAACACAUGCAAGUCGAACGAGUGGCGGACGGGUGAGUAAUGUCUGGGAAACUGCCCGAUGGAGGGGGAUAACUACUGGAAACGGUAGCUAAUACCGCAUACCAUCGGAUGUGCCCAGAUGGGGUUAGCGUGUAGGUGAGGUAACGGCGCACCUAGGCGACGAUCCCUAGCUGGUCUGAGAGGAUGACCAGUCACACGGGAACUGAGACACGGGCCAGACUCCUACGGGAGGCAGCAGUGGGGAAGAUUGCACAAUGUGCGCAAGCCGGAUGCAGCCAUGCCGCGUGUAUGAAGAAGGCCUUCGGGUUGUAAAGUCCUUUCAGCGGGGAGGCGUUACCCGCAGAAUAAGCACCGGCUAACUCCGUGCCAGCAGCCGCGGUAAUAC